UACGGGGGGGGCGAGCGUUGUCCGAAGUUACUGGGCGUAAAGCGCGUGUAGGCGGGUUGUUAAGUCCGCUGUGAAAGCCCGGUGCUCAACGCCGGAGGGUCGGUGGAUACUGGCAGUCUUGAAGUGGCUAGGGGGAAAUGGAAUUACCGGUGUAGCGGUGAAAUGCGUAGAUAUCGGUAGGAACACCAGUGGCGAAGGCGGUUUCCUGGAGCUAACUUGGACGCUGAGACGACGAAAGCUGGGGGAGCAAACAAGG
rnacentral:rRNA from 1 species